rnacentral:rRNA from 1 species
GAUGAACGCUGGCGGCGUGCCUAAUACAUGCAAGUCGAACGAACAGACGCGGAGCUUGCUCCUCUGUCGUUAGCGGCGGACGGGUGUGUAACACGUGGAUAACCUACCUAUCAGACUGGGAUAACUUCGGGAAACCGGCGCUAAUACCGGAUAAUAUAUUGAACCGCAUGGUUGAAUAGUGAAAGACGGUUUUGCUGGCACUUAUCGAUGGAUACGCGCCGCAUUAGCUAGUUGGUAAGGUAACGGCCUACGACGGGAACGAUGCGUAGCCGACCUGAGAGAGUGAUAGGCCACACUGGAAGUGGGACGCGGUCCAGAGUCCUACGGGACGCAGCAGUAGGGAAUCUUCCGCAAUGGGCGAAAGCUUGACGGAGCAACGCGGCGUGAGUGAUGAAGGCCUUCGGAUCGUAAAACUCUGUUAUUAGGGAAGAACAAAUGUGGAAGUAACUAUGCACGUAGUGACGGUAACGGAUCAGAAAGCCACGGCUAACUACGUG